GGGGGAUAUUGCACAAUGGGGGAAACCCUGAUGCAGCGACGCCGCGUGAGUGAAGAAGUACUCCGGUAUGUAAAGCUCUAUCAGCAGGGACGAAGAAUGACGGUACCUGACUAAGAAGCCCCGGCUAACUACGUGCCAGCAGCCGCGGUAAUACGUAGGGGGCAAGCGUUAUCCGGGUUUACUGGGUGUAAAGGGAGCGUAGACGGUGACGUAAGUCAGAUGUGAAAGCCCAGGGCUCAACUCUGGGACUGCAUUUGAAACUAUGUUGCUAGAGUGCAGGAGAGGUAAGUGGAAUUCCUAGUGUAGCGGUGAAAUGCGUAGAUAUUAGGAGGAACACCAGUGGCGAAGGCGGCUUACUGGACUGUAACUGACGUUGAGGCUCGAAAGCGUGGGGAGCAAAC
rnacentral:rRNA from 1 species